rnacentral:sRNA from 1 species
UUUUUAGUUUUUUUUAAUAUUAAGCAUACUUUGUUAUUGUUAUUUAUUUGAGGUUAAUCUUUCACAUAUAUUUAUUGAUUGAUACUUCUUCAUGAUCUGAAUGGUUACCAAAGAAAUGUGUUCAUGCCUCUGAACCAAGUGAAGGUGUUACAUAUUCUGAAAUAUGGAGAAAUUGAUGACGAGUUUAAACGGUUUAAGGAUAAUUUGUUUUGGGAAAAAAGUGUGGCGGAAAUUGUGUUUUAUGGAGUUUGAUUGCAAACGAAAAGACUAAGAAAGGACGGAGUUGUCGAGUAAGGAUUGGCCGAAAUCAGUUAUGUACCUGGGAAUCAUCCAAUAUAAAAUAGAAAAAUAAAACGUGAUCUAAGUAGGCUUAGCUAAAUAGUGCACGUAUGGUAAAUGAGGACUCUUGUCAGCUUUGAACGACCGAGUAAGGAGUGAAAGGCCUUUGAAAACCAGAGAAAAGCAGGGGAGUACUCUAUAUUGUGCGUUCUAUUAUUGCGUCUUAUUUCCGAGGGAGUAGUCGUAUUAAGUCAUGUGGCAAUACCCACCAAACAAGACUCUUUGAUUUUUAGGAGCGGAACCUCUAUCCAGGGGAUAAUUAUUUAUUGAUCUUUCAUGAAGUUUAAGUUUCAUCAAGUUGAGAUCAUAGUAUUACUAUAUCAAAAUUGUUAUCACUUAAGAUGAAGUAUGUAGAAUUAAAAUCGAGUUUAUUAUGAUGAAAUAUAUAGUUAAAUUGUAUCGCAAAAUUGAAUAUGUAAGAUAUAAUUUUUUUCUUCUGAAUAAUAAAUGAAGUAUACAAUAAGUGUGUUUGUUACUAAUUAUAAUUAAAAAAUCAUCAAUAAGAUUGAGUUUGUAAAAUUAAAAUGUGUAAUAAAAUAUAAGGAUUUAGAAUAGUUAGAGUUUUUCUAAAUUUUACAUAGUUAGAGUUUAAUUGAAAAAUAUAUUUGA